UUGAUUAGGGUUUGAUUUAGGGUUAGGAUUUGGUUAGGAUUUGAUUUAGGAUUAGGAUUUGAUUAGGAUUUCAUUUAGGAUUUAGGAUUUGAUUAGGAUUUGGUUCAGAAUUUAAGAUUUGGUUUAGGAUUUGAUUUAGUAUUAGGAUUUGGUUAAGAUUUGAUUUAGGAUUAGGAUUUGAUUAAGGUUUGAUUUAGGAUUUGGUUAGGAUUUGAUUUAGGAUUUGGUUAGGAUUUGAUUUAGGAUUUAGGAUUUUAUUAGGAUUUAUUUAGGAUUUAAGAUUUAGUUAGUUUUGGCCUAAAAUUUGAAUGAAUUCCAAUAGGAUUUUAAUUAGGAUUAAAUUAAGAUUGAAUUGAGAUGUAUUUGAGAUAUAUUUGUAAUAAUUCUAAUAUUUCUUUAAGAUUUCUUAUUGUUACUUUGUAAUUCCUUUGAGAUUUCUUUGAAUUUGAUUAAAGCUUGUUUAGCAUUAUUAUGGUCUAAUUAAAAUUUAGUUAGUAUUCUAUUAGAGUUAGGAUUUUGUUAUUGCACUUUCCAUUCUACCUUCCACAGCCGGGUACCCAGAGCAUUCUUAUGCAAGAUUUCAUGUAUUACGACAAUGUAGAAAUGAAUUAGAGUUGUCCACUUUAUUUUAUUUUUUUACAAAGAAGUAAGUUGGCUUUGUAUUUUUGUGUCUCUUUUUGCAAUUGGACUAACUUAUUUGUAUUGUUUAAAAAUUCAAAUAGAAUUAUUUAAGUAAUGAUGUCCAUUAAUGAAUAAUUGAAGUGGCUAUAUGGAGUAGAAAUGACAUAGUUUGCUUAUU
rnacentral:lncRNA from 1 species